GACGAACGCUGGCGGCGUGCUUAACACAUGCAAGUCGAACGGAAAGGCCCUGCUUUUGUGGGGUGCUCGAGUGGCGAACGGGUGAGUAACACGUGAGUAACCUGCCCUUGACUUUGGGAUAACUUCAGGAAACUGGGGCUAAUACCGGAUAGGAGCUCCUGCUUCAUGGUGGGGGUUGGAAAGUUUCGGCGGUUGGGGAUGGACUCGCGGCUUAUCAGCUUGUUGGGGGGGUAGUGGCUUACCAAGGCUUUGACGGGUAGCCGGCCUGCGAGGGUGACCGGCCACAUUGGGACUGAGAUACGGCCCAGACUCCUACGGGAGGCAGCAGUGGGGAAUAUUGCACAAUGGGCGGAAGCCUGAUGCAGCAACGCCGCGUGCGGGAUGACGGCCUUCGGGUUGUAAACCGCUUUCGCCUGUGACGAAGCGUGAGUGACGGUAAUGGGUAAAGAAGCACCGGCUAACUACGUG
rnacentral:rRNA from 1 species